AGGACGAACGCUGGCGGCGUGCUUAACACAUGCAAGUCGAGCGGAAAGGCCCUUCGGGGUACUCGAGCGGCGAACGGGUGAGUAACACGUGAGUAACCUGCCCCUAGCUCUGGGAUAGCUCCGGGAAACCGGGAUUAAUACCAGAUACGACCACUUUAGACAUCUGUCGUGGUGGAAAGGAUUCCGGCUAGGGAUGGGCUCGCGGCCUAUCAGCUUGUGGUGGGUAACGCCUACCAAGGCGACGACGGGUA
rnacentral:rRNA from 1 species